ACGGAAGGCAGCAGUGAGGAAUAUUGGUCAAUGGGCGAGAGCCUGAACCAGCCAAGUCGCGUGAAGGAUGAAGGUUCUAUGGAUUGUAAACUUCUUUUAUUCGAGGGUAAAGUGACGGACGUGUCCGUUAUUGCAAGUAUCGAAUGAAUAAGCAUCGGCUAACUCCGUGCCAGCAGCCGCGGUAAUACGGAGGAUGCGAGCGUUAUCCGGAUUUAUUGGGUUUAAAGGGUGCGUAGGCGGGCGAUUAAGUCAGCGGUGAAAGCGUGUGGCUCAACCAUACCAAGCCGUUGAAACUGGUUGUCUUGAGUGUAAACGAGGUAGGCGGAAUGUGACGUGUAGCGGUGAAAUGCUUAGAUAUGUCACAGAACCCCGAUUGCGAAGGCAGCUUACCAGCAUACGACUGACGCUGAGGCACGAAAGUGUGGGGAUCAAACAGGAUUAGAUACCCUGGUA
rnacentral:rRNA from 1 species